GGCUUCUGUGGUGUAGUGGUAGCACACGCGACCGGUAUGGAUAAGACGCGGGUUCAAUUCCGGCUGGGGUCG